AGGGUGCUCGAGUGGCGAACGGGUGAGUAACACGUGGGUGAUCUGCCCCUUACUUUGGGAUAAGCCUGGGAAACUGGGUCUAAUACUGGAUAGGACCAUGCUGUAGGUGGUGUGGUGGAAAGAUUUUUCGGUAAGGGAUGAGCUCGCGGCCUAUCAGCUUGUUGGUGGGGUAAUGGCCUACCAAGGCGUCGACGGGUAGCCGGCCUGAGAGGGUGGACGGCCACAUUGGGACUGAGAUACGGCCCAG
rnacentral:rRNA from 1 species